rnacentral:rRNA from 2 species
UACGUAGGCACCAAGCGUUGUUCGGAAUUACUGGGCGUAAAGAGUGCGUAGGCGGUCGGCCAAGUUCGGUGUGAAAUCUCCCGGCUCAACUGGGAGGGUGCGCCGAAGACUGGCUGGCUAGAGUGUGGGAGAGGAAAGUGGAAUUCCUGGUGUAGCGGUGAAAUGCGUAGAUAUCAGGAGGAACACCUGAGGUGUAGACGGCUUUCUGGACCAUAACUGACGCUGAGGCACGAAAGCGUGGGUAGCAAACAGG